AUGAGGACUGAGUCUUUUUAUUUUCGAAGAGUUGUUUCUACAAUGUAAAUGCAUCCGGGUGUUGAAAACCAUUUAACACCAACCUAUACCUUACGGUAUAGUUUUAAACAUGAAUGAUUGUACAGUGGACAAGAGACUUUCUAAUCAUAAAGCAACUUGUUUUCCCAUCAGAAAAUUUCCAAUCUGUACAUUUAUCACAACAGUCUAUUAGGCAAUAUUUCAAAAUUACCAUCUGCCAAUUGUUCCUUCUGAUGAAACAUCAAAAGAAUGAAACAAGUUGGUAUCUUGUGCAAGUCAACAUAUACUGACCCUCGGCUAGUUAUAGCCAGCAACGACAACAAUGCUGACGAUUUAGAAUUCAUCGUUGGAAAAACCUUCAAGAAAAUAGUGGCAUCAGACAGUCGUUACAAACACAUAGGCGCACAUGUCAGCAGAUCCAGCAGCCAUUUUUGUAGACCAUAUGCGUUAAUAUGUGUUAUUCAAACUGAAUGUAAAAGAGGAAAAGCAUGUUUAAGUAGUCAGGAUUUAUCUCUGUUAGCAUCGUCUAGAUAUUUCAAGGAAGCAUCUGAUACCAUUGUAUAUGUCAUACAGAAUACCACACAAAAUCAGAACUACACAGCUGAUGACCUGAUGACUGUCAGUAAUGAAAUU